rnacentral:lncRNA from 1 species
AAUUACUUUUCAUAUAAUAUAAUGUGAUCUAUAGAUCAUUUUAUUUACCUUGAGAAUAGAGUAAAUAAUAUCUAUCUAAAUUCACUUUCAUAUCUAAACUUAUCAAAAAAUAGAUACAAAUUUGAGCAUUCCACUAAUAUAGGAUAUAAAUAUUAAUUGACAACUAUCUGAUCCAUAUAAAAAUAUCCUAUUUUAAUUGUUAUUUUAUUUAAUUUUAUAUCGCAUCCAUAAAUAUUUUAAAAGAAUAAAUAACAAUAUUAACAAG